CUGGGAUUGUGUAACACGGUGCCGAUCACACACUCCCGACCAAUCAGGAUGCAGCUUAGUUUCCCCAUUCGGUGCCUGGCGAGCUGAAGGUGGGGCAAACAGAUAGGAAUGUAGGGGCUGUCCUAGCCUUCUCUCUGGGUAAUACAGAGCAGCUCCUCUCCCUGGCAGCCUCAGCAGGUAGGUAGCUAUAUGGAGAGGGUGCCAUGGUAACUGGCAUGGGUUUGAUUCCAGUGCUACAUGACCCCAUAUCUAUGCUGGCAGGAAGGGCUGGGGUCAGUUUCACACUGUGUUCUUUAGAGAUUUAGUGGUUUGUUGUUGUUUUUUUUGUUUUGUUUUUGUAAAAUACGUUACUGUGAGCUGUGUGCCUUCUGCUUACAGAACUACAGCAACUCCCAUCACCCACAGCCACAGAACACACCGCCUGUGGUUGAUGAGAGUAGUCAUUUUCCUUCAGUAGGUAAAAGGAGAUGUGACGUGGGCUUGUUUUUUGGGCUGUGAACUGCAAAGUGAAAGCAAUGGGUUCUUUGUAAAUGGAUUAUUUACUAAAUGCAGAAUUCACAGUGAAUUGCAAAGUGAAAGCAAUGGGUUCUUUGUAAAUGGAUUAUUCACUAAAUGCAGAAUUCACAGUGAAUUGCCAAGUGAAAGCAAUGGGUUCUUUGUAAAUGGAUUAUUUAUUUACUAAAUGCAGAAUUCACAGUGAAUUUCAAAUUUAAGGUUAAAAUAGCCAAACCUUAGAAAUUCACUAAAUCAGCUGUUAGUUUUGGCUGCUCUGAACUUAAAUUUGAAUUCUCACUUUCUAGUAAAAAACCCUGUUAGCGAUGACUUUUCUUCACUCAACCCAAACCGUUAUUAUUGAUGUUUAACUAUUUACAUACAUUUCUUUAGCGUGAAUAUUGUAUUUGUGUUCUGUACAGUAGAGCGGGUCUUUAAUAUAGAUUAUCGUUCAUUUUAUAGCAUAUCAAAAUCAAAUCAGACUAUAGUAUAUACCGUUAGGUCCCUGUACUAAAUUAUGUCUCUCGAAUGUAAACAUUUACAUAAUCUUAAUUUUUGCUAGAUCCAGCAUUGUCUUAAUAAUUAGUUGUUUUUAGGAUUUUCAUUGUUAAGGCACUGAAAGAAAUGUACCUACUUUUACUAUAGUAAUGCAACAACCCCCAUCAUCCACAUCCACAUAAGUGCAUGCUGGCUGUGAGUGAUGGAAGUAGUUGCACACUGUGAGGUGUAAGAUUGCAGAUUUGUGCAAAUGCAUCGCAUUUGUAUAGGUAGCUUUACUUUUACCUUCUUUGCUGUCGUUUGCAAAAAAAACCCAAAUGUUUGUGGUUAAAUAUUUGCCUUUUAUUGUCUAAAUAUAAAUCUCAGGACAGGGACAGUAUGCUGGGUGGCUCUUUACCUUUUGAAUUGGUCUGUGUAUAGUUCCCCUCCCCCAAUUGUACAGCGCUGCAGAAAAUUUUGGCGCUUUAUAAAUGCCACUAAUACAAAUAACAUAUAUUAUAACUGUUUUUAAAUGCAACUGAAAUACAGAAAAGUUAGGCUGAAAAAGCCAAGCUGUGAGUGGCACUGAACUUUUAGCACUAUUUUCCUAGAUAUUAGUCGUAAUUUUAAUUUUUUUGUAGUUUGCGGGCUUAUUUAAGAAAAACUAAAAUUGCAUAAUUUAGGUUAAAAACAAAGUGCCGUUUUAAAAAAAAAAAACCCAAACUAUGUAAUUCAUCAGUAACUUUCACAGCAUAUAUUUUACAUUUGUUUUUCAAUUAACUAUAAUUUUCAUAUUUAGUGGAAACACCCCACCCAGUCAGUGCCUCUCUUUUAAGUUUACUAGGCAGAAAAUCAAAAAAUACUGGUGUACAAAUUUUCAAUAACUUUAGCAAACGUAUGAAUUUCCCUUUUAAUAGUUUAUGGAUAAAUGUUUAUGGUUCUGUUCUAUGGUUAAUGGUUUCAUUGUUAAUUGAAGUCCAGUUCUGUUUUUUUUAUUAACUUUUGAAUUUAUUAACUAACAUGGAAUUCAGUAAAAAUUACAGUAAGUUGCUCAUUUUUAUGCCGUUGGAGAAUGUUUACUGUACAGUUAGUGGCGGUACCAAUGUAGAGAGGGCCCUGGUGCAAUCAUUGUUGUGUUCCUGACCCUGUAGUGUUCAUUUAAGCCUUUUUCUAAUAGGUUUGUGUAAUUAUAAAGACUGACUUUGAUAUAAACAUUAGGAUUCUUGUAAAAGGUGGAAAAUACUCACUUUUGCUGUGAUUUUUUUUUUCAGUUAUGUAUGUCAUAUGACCUAAUUCUCUGUUCUUUUUAAAGAUGUAUGAAGUAGGAUCAUAUGAUAUUGGGACACUUAUGACCUUCAGA